GAUGAACGCUGGCGGCGUGCUUAACACAUGCAAGUCGAACGAUGAAGCCCAGCUUGCUGGGUGGAUUAGUGGCGAACGGGUGAGUAACACGUGAGUAACCUGCCCUUGACUCUGGGAUAAGCGCUGGAAACGGCGUCUAAUACCGGAUACGAGCUUCCACCGCAUGGUGAGUUGCUGGAAAGAAUUUCGGUCAAGGAUGGACUCGCGGCCUAUCAGGUAGUUGGUGAGGUAACGGCUCACCAAGCCGACGACGGGUAGCCGGCCUGAGAGGGUGACCGGCCACACUGGGACUGAGACACGGCCCAGACUCCCACGGGAGGCAGCAGUGGGGAAUAUUGCACAAUGGGCGCAAGCCUGAUGCAGCAACGCCGCGUGAGGGACGAAGGCCUUCGGGUCGUAAACCUCUUUUAGCAGGGAAGAAGCGAAAGUGACGGUACCUGCAGAAAAAGCACCGGCUAACUACGUG
rnacentral:rRNA from 1 species